AUUGAACGCUGGCGGCAGGCCUAACACAUGCAAGUCGAACGAGUGGCGGACGGGUGAGUAAUGUCUGGGAACCUGCCCGAUGGAGGGGGAUAACUACUGGCAAGGGUAGCUAAUACCGCAUACUAUCGGAUGUGCCGAGAUGGGAUUAGCUAGUAGGUGGGGUAACGGCUCACCUAGGCGACGAUCCGUAGCUGGUCUGAGAGGAUGACCAGCCACACUGGAACUGAGACACGGUCCAGACUCCGACGGGAGGCAGCAGUGGGGAAUAUUGCACAAUGGGCGAAAGCCUGAUGCAGCCAUGCCGCGUGUAUGAAGAAGGCCUUCGGGUUGUAAAGUACUUUCAGCGAGGAGGCGGUACUCGCAGAAGAAGCACCGGCUAACUCCGUGCCAGCAGCCGCGGUAAUAC
rnacentral:rRNA from 1 species